GGCAGGUGAUGGCUUUUUCUCAUGAUGAUCUGUGGAUGCCACUGUGGGCAGCGCCGAUAGUGCCAAUGACUUCGCUGAUGCCAGGAG